UGCUGCUAUGGCCUAAUGGGGGUAAGGCAAUAGUCUCUGAUGGUACUAAUGAUGGUAGGUUCAAGUCCCACUAAAGUAA